rnacentral:rRNA from 1 species
UACGUAGGGUGCAAGCGUUAAUCGGAAUUACUGGGCGUAAAGCGUGCGCAGGCGGUUUUGUAAGUCUGUGGUGAAAGCCCCGGGCUCAACCUGGGAAUUGCGAUGGAGACUGCAAGGCUUGAAUCUGGCAGAGGGGGGUGGAAUUCCACGUGUAGCAGUGAAAUGCGUAGAGAUGUGGAGGAACACCGAUGGCGAAGGCAGCCCCCUGGGCUGAGAUUGACGCUCAGGCACGAAAGCGUGGGGAGCAAACAGG